UGAACGCCUGUGGAACUUGUUAAAUGUCUAAGUGUUUUUAGAGUUAUGUAGUGACAGUAAGACAGAGUGAGUGCUGAGCACCUCAGCUUUGGAAGUCUUAAAGGAUUGUUGGAAACUGUGGAGUUGACUACGGUGGCAAAAUCCCACUCUUGCUCCUAGGUUAACAGUGACAUCAGCUCUGAAGUGGUCCAGAGGCUCAUUAAAUCAGAGGAAACAGGCUCCUCUGGAUGGAUUGAUUAAAUAAGACGUAACUACCAACUGAGACCAGGAAAAGGUUCACUAAGCUCAUCGAAGGAAGCCAAAGAGGUUUCCCACAGACUUCCCUGCAAUCUCUGUUGUUUUUGUAAUCUGAGGAGUCGCCCCCUGCUGGCUAUUAAGAACACUACACAUUUAAGAUGCUUCCACAGUGAAUAAAACUGACAUUUCCAUUCACAGAUAUAUUUAGUUGUUUUUAAUGCUAAUUAUGUCUCUUGAACAAUGUUGCUGAUCUGAGCUGAACUUCUAAAUGUAAUUAUUACUUCUUCAGUGUUGUUAGCAUUGUUGUAGACUGCUCUCGCUGGCUUUAAUUUUAUGCUCUAACAAUUGAAA